UCGUCGCCGGCGACUCCUCCCUCCCUCAACCCCUUCUACUACGCCCACGUCACGCACUUAUCGUGUAUGCACACUUUGCGCAGUUGCGAGGAAUCGGAGUCGCAGUCGUGCUUCGCGUGUCUCGAGACCGAUCACGAGACGAAAUUCAGGAAAUUCCAGGCGCUCUGGGAGGAACUCCGUGACGCUACGUCGUCGUCGCGGAAUCCGCGACGGACGCGUCGUCGCGACGGAGCCGCGGGUGGCGUCGCCGCAGGGGCGAAUGGGAUUUUUCUAGGAACCCCGGGGGAACAUCGGACUCGCGAAGAGUGUUGUUCUAUCUGACGCGCCGAGAGUCGACGCUCGUUUUUCUUACGGCCCUGAGGGGCGAUGGAGGGGAGGAUGAGGGAGAUCCACCAAUCGCGAACGAAUCGAAUCCACGGAGGGGGAGGCGAGCGCACGUGACUCGCGGCGUGUCGCGCUGUCAAAAUCGGGCGCGAUCUUAUCCGCAUGGAUUUUGACAGAUCUAUUCUAAUUUUUUUUAAUGAAUGUGUUAAUUUAUAACGUGAUAAUUAUAACGUAUGAUUUAUUAGAAAAUUUAUAAUUUUUUGGUAUUAAGUUAGGCCUACAUACAUAUCUCUUUCUCCCGAUGAGCUCGAGGUUUUUUUUUUCUUUCGUGAAUCGGAGUAGAAAUGAAUAAAUUAUUUCUUUACAUGUGUAUGGAAAUAUGGAAAAUUAUUAUGUGGAUUAUAAUUCAAGUAUGAAUAAUUGACGCAACAGCAUCUUCUACGUUCUCUCUCGGCCGUGAAAACUCUCGAGCAAUAAUACAGGAAAAAAUCGAUAAACGUUACACACGAUUUGAGGAAUAAAAUACGAAGACUUGGUCGAGCGAUCAUAUACUCCCGAGGCACAUUUCCAGUUUUCAAUCAAUCGAAAAAGUCUCCAUUCCAUGCACGUCAAUUAAAGAAGAGAAUGUGCGACUUACACUCCCCGCGCAGGGGAAAUGACGUAAAUUCAAACUGCGCAUUUAGAUGUGCAGAUCUGGAAACACUCGGAAUCUCUUUCCACGCACCUGGCGAUGUAUUUCAAAUCAAAAGCACACAAUUGUUUUAUAUUGUCUACGUUUAUUAUUAUUAGCGUUUAUGAGUAAAUGACAUGAUAUGUUACAAUUUCGUCAAGUAAACUCCGUGUGACCCGACUUAAAAAAAAAAAAAACUAUUGUUAAAGAUAUAAUAUAUACAUAAAUAAUUAUUCCAAGAAUUCCUUAUUUAAAGUUUUUUAUGCAUCUAAAAGCGUGAACAUUUUUACUCCAAAUACAUAAAAUAUAUAAAUUCAGAAAAAAAUCAGAUAUUGCUAUAAAAAGUUGAAUUUUUUCUAUUGAAUUUUAUGUAUCUUUUUUCUAUUGUACAUAUAUAUUUCUGAAACUGUUUUCCAUCAUUUCAGUCAUCCUAUAAAAAAGUAAGCUCCGUGACCGACUUUAAAAAAUGCAUUGUCAAACACACACCUUUUAUCUUUAAACUCGAUCAAAAAUCCUAGGUUGCAGUAACUUUUUCGCUUUCAAAGACGAGUUUAAAAAAAAAAUAAGUAGAAAAAUAAAUUCUCUCUCUCUUUCUUCGUUUCAUAAAUAGAUCCAUAGAUAAUUCUCAAAACUAGAGAAAAGAAGGGCGAACAAAAUUCACAACUUUAAAAAAAGCAUUGUCAAAUACACACCUUUUUAUCUCUAAACUCAAAAAUAUACCUAGAACCUAGAUCGCAGUAACUUUUUCGCUUUCAGAGACGAGUUUCAAAAAAAUAAGUUGAAACAAAUUUUCCCUCUUGCUUCCCGUUUCACAAAUAGAUCCAUAAAUAAUUCUCAAAA